CUACGGGGUGCUGCAGUGGGGGAUGUUGCACAAUGGGCGAAAGCCUGAUGCAGCAACGCCGCGUGAAGGAUGACGGAUUUCGGUCUGUAAACUUCUAUCAGCAGGGAAGAAAAUGACGGUACCUGACUAAGAAGCCCCGGCUAACUACGUGCCAGCAGCCGCGGUAAUACGUAGGGGGCAAGCGUUAUCCGGAAUUACUGGGUGUAAAGGGUACGUAGGCGGCUGAUCAAGUCAGAUGUGAAAGCCCGGAGCUCAACUCCGGGAUUGCAUUUGAAACUGGUCGGCUAGAGUGCAGGAGAGGAAAGUGGAAUUCCUAGUGUAGCGGUGAAAUGCGUAGAUAUUAGGAAGAACACCAGUGGCGAAGGCGGCUUUCUGGACUGUAACUGACGCUGAGGUACGAAAGCGUGGGGAGCGAACAGGAUUAGAUACCCGGGUAGUC
rnacentral:rRNA from 1 species